GGGGCUGUAGCUCAGCUGGGAGAGCACCUGCUUUGCAAGCAGGGGGUCACCGGUUCGAUCCCGGUCAGCUCCA
rnacentral:tRNA from 5 species